rnacentral:rRNA from 1 species
UACGUAGGGCGCAAGCGUUGUCCGGAAUUAUUGGGCGUAAAGCGUCCGCAGGUGGCUAUUCAAGUCUGCGGUCAAAGACUGGGGCUUAACCCUGGAAAGGCCGUGGAAACUGAAGAGCUAGAGUGCAGUAGGGGUAGAGGGAAUUCCCGGUGUAGCGGUGAAAUGCGUAGAGCUCGGGAAGAACAUCAGUGGCGAAAGCGCUCUGCUGGACUGCAACUGACACUCAGGGACGAAAGCUAGGGGAGCGAAUGGG